CGCGAACUUUUAAACCUUUGACGAUUGACUCACGUUGCCUCGGCGGGUUCGCCCGCCAGAGGAUACAUCAAAACUCCUGUUUUAACGGUGUUGUCUGAGCUACAAGCAACGAAUUAAAACUUUCAACAACGGAUCUCUUGGUUCUGGCAUCGAUGAAGAACGCAGCGAAAUGCGAUAAGUAGUGUGAAUUGCAGAAUUCAGUGAAUCAUCGAAUCUUUGAACGCACAUUGCGCCCCUUGGUAUCCCGAGGGGCAUGCCUGUUCGAGCGUCAUUUCACCAUUCAAGCCUGGCUUGGUGUUGGGCGACGUCCCCUUUGGGGACGCGCUUCGAAACGCUCGGCGGCGUGGCACCGGCUUUAAGCGUAGCAGAAUCUUUCGCUUUGAAAGUCGGGGCCCCGUCUGCCGGAAGACCUACUCAAGGUUGACCUCGGAUCAGGUAGGGAUACCCGCUGAACUUAAGCAUAUCAAUAAG
rnacentral:rRNA from 1 species